ensembl:lincRNA
GGAGCUAGAAAAAUCGGGGAUGGAGAAGAUGGGUGGAAAGCAAAGGUCCUGUUUCUUCAAUUGUCAAUGACAACCGCAGUCUCGGCUGGAGGAGAGGUGAGGCUCACACCCAGCAGUCCUGGACCAUUUCCUUAGCAACGGGAGGAGAAAGACAGCUUAGACACUCGCGAGCCCCAGCGUUCUCUUGGAACGUGCCCUGGCUUCCUAACGUGGCAGCAGUUCGGCAUCUUCCCGUGGCUCCGUCAGCAGCCAAAAGGAGAAAGGUCCAUCGGAAAAAUGGCAUAUUACAAAUUUUGCUUUGGGAAGCAGGGCUCGGUUCAGACCAUUGUCAAAGGGAAGAGAGGGGGAGGCGGUUCUUAAAGCAGCCGCGGCCCCUUUGCCGCCCAAGCAGCGGCAGCCGCCGCUUUUGCGUGCACCAGGAGCCCGGGGGCGGAGAGAUGGUAAUCCGGGACUGGAUCUGACUUUCAGAAACUUAACGUAGCAUAACUUCUCCCCUUGGCAUCCCGGGCCACCCAGAGAGGGUGAAGAAGUGCCCCUCCAAACAGGAACUUUGGGGUGAAGUGUGGGAAGUACCUAUCUGGAAAGGAUAUUCUCCACCCAAUACCCCACCCGGAGCCCCUGUGAAGUUUAUGGUAAAUGUUGGGAGUUUGAUGGUUAAAAGGAAGUGAGUCCCCUGGGGAUGCUAGAAGCAGGACAGGUCUUCUCUGGGUGCCCAGCCUACUUCUGUUCUAGGGUGUAUCCUUUCACUUAAAGGAGGUGCUUAUUUUCUGGGAAGGUAAGCAGAAAUACAAACACACACACACACACACACACACACACACACCACCCACCUCCGAAGACACCCCCGCCCCAUCAUCGCGCGCUGCCUCCGCCCGCUGCAACAAUUUUUUUUUCCUUCCAGUCCCUCUGCAAUUCAUCUGCUUGCAUCAGUUGGCCGACAGAACCAACCUGCUGGGAACUGAGUGAGGAUGCUACAAGCAUCUUCUCACUUGCCUAGUGCAAGCCUAGGAUACUCCUCCUGUGUCUCCUCCCCUCCUCCUCCUUGGCAAUCUCCACCUCCUCUUCCUCUGGAACAAGGGCUUCCCCUGGAAGCUGCCGCAGUGGUUUCCACCGGCCCUUAAAUAAAUUCUGAAGUAAUCACGUCUUUUCUCUCCUCCUCACGCACACGCGCUCGUGGAUACACUCCACUCUUCUCCCCCAAAAGCUUCUCCGGGGCUGCUGAGGAUCACGCUGAUCUCAAUGCUCCUGAUGAUGGCGAGGACCAAGGAUGAUCUAAAGUAUAAUGGGUUCUGCUUUGCCCUGCCUGAGCUUUUCCCACACAAUCAUCUUUACAGGAAAGCUUGUGUUGGCAUGUGCUUUGGAGAACUGGGAACCUUCUUGCUCUGUGGCCUUCUGUGUUUGCUGUGGCUCUCUGCCACAGAGGCAAGGUAGUCAAGCUCCCAGGAACCUGAAUCAGUCUAGGGUGUGGCUGGGUCUGUCACUUAGCAUUACCUCUUCAGGUCGCCUCCAUUCAUUGCCUUAGUGCUGAGGAUCUCAUGUUAAGUGUUCCCUGUCUGCAUGACUGAAUUUCAGCAUUCAAUAGUCUGGCAGCCCCAAGAACAUGUUCUAGUCCCUAGAAACUUUCCCCUCCCCCAUUCCUCCUCCUCCCCCUCAAGCAUCUCUGUCUCUCUCUCUCUGACUCUCUCCCUCCCUCUGUCUCUUUCCUCCCUCUUUUCCCUCUCCCCUGACCGUGUGUGUAUAUGUGUGUGUGUGUGUGUCCAUUCAUAUAGAUCAGGAAUAAGGAGACAUCAGUAAAUAAAAACCAAUACUUUAAGGAAAUGUUUGAGAGAGGAAGAUACUGAUGCACUAAAGGAACAAAAAGCACCAAGUAGACAUUGAAUAGAAGUUACAGCAAGGGUCCAGAGUAAGCAGUAUUAGAAGCCCAAAGGAGCAGAAUCCAGAUUUUACUAGAAAUGAUGUGCACAUCCUGACUCACUGAAGUAUGAUCACUAGAUGAAGUUCUUUUGGGGGAAGAACUUGACUAGUUGAUGAUUCUACAGUAAAAUUCAAGACGAGCCAUAUGGUUUAUAUCCCUUUCUCUCCUGGACUGUUACUCAAGUUUCACAUCACGAUGUAAGAAUUGAGUGUAAAAAUAUUAAACAUUAGUAGAUGAAUAUUAUUAUUAUUAUAUGCUACAUAAAGUACUAUUUCUCAAACAUGCUCACUUGAGCAUCCUAGUUCUUUGUAGAUGCUGGAACUCUAAGCCUUGGGUGGAUCAUGAGAGGCUACACUCUUAACAAUGUCUAUACAAUACACUGCAUUGGUGUGAACAAAAAGUCCCCCCCCCUCAAAGAAGCUGUGUCUGUUGAGACUAAUGGGCUGAUUGGAAUGUUCCAGGUCCAGAGGCUAAUUAUUUUGUCUCACGCUAACAUUAGCCACUAGGAACAGUCAUUCCCUAUCAAAAUGGAGAAAGGUUCGUACAAGAAGUUUGCAAAAUCACUAGAUUAUCCCAUUAGCAAGAACACAAGAAACACCAUUGUGAAUGUUCCUAUAAGCUUAUUGACCAUCAAAUGCAGCAUACAAAAAAAUAUCCAAGGCAGCUUCUUAUAAUGAACAUUGCUUGGUCUCAACCCCCAUAAGCCAUGCAUCCUUCAGGUCAAAGGUACUGUCUGUCUCAACCUUAUAACUCCUGAGAAGUUCCAAAAUGAUACUAGUCCAGCUAGCUCAACAUCCCACAUUGAUAAAUGCUGCCUAAAUAUUCACAGAAAUGUAAAAAAAUAAAGGAGCUACUAAAUAUCCAUUCAUGAAGUGAAAAGUCUUUUUGUACUUUUUAUUAUAUAUGAACAGUUUUAAUGUUAAGACCAUCACUGGCUUCCACUGAUUUUAAUAGACGGUAAAUUAAACAGUAUGGUGAACUAAAACUAUCUCCAUAUAGUUGUCUACAUUUCUCAAGAGUGGUAUUAGCCACCUUUUUAUUAGUAGUAUUAGUGCAUAAGAUGAAAAUAUGAAUUUAGUUCAUAGAUACAUAUAGGAUCAUGGUCAUAGAUAUAUAAUGCUUCUUUUGUACAUUUUAUUACAAAUAUUACUUUCUAUAUUUAUUGUUUAAAAGGAGUAUAGAACAAAACUACUUUUAUGUAUGCUAUAGUGGCUGAUUCUUCCAAUUAUACGUGUCCUGAGUAUCAAAUGAAAUAAUAGUAUUAGCCAGAAUCUCUAAAGAACAGACCUGAUAUAAUGAAAAUACAUAAAUGGAUUAUAGAUUGUGGUCUGGCCGGUUUUACAAUGACUGUCUCUCAAUGGGAAGGCUAAGAACCCUGUAGUCUUUGAGUGCACCAGGCUGUAUGCGAUGCCAAAGAUAUAAGUUCUGGUACCAGGAAAGGAAUUCCUCAACCACAGGAUAGAUGAAACUGUCCAUGAAAGAGAGAGCAAGCAGGGAAAGUAUCAACAGCUUUGUGUUUCCUACUCCUUUUAUGUGGGUUGCUAUCAGAAGGUAUGGCUCUUGUUUAAUGUGUCUCCUCGAAUGACCCAAUCAAGAAUAUCCCUCAGAGGUAGAUUCAGCAGCUUGGGUUAUAGUUAAUUCCAAAUAUGGUAAAGUUGAAUAUCAAGAUGUCAACUUGUCAACUUGACACACAAAAUUCCACCUCUUUAUGUCAUACAUAAUUUCC